UACGGCGAGUGAAGCGGCAACAGCUCAAAUUUGAAAUCUGGCCUCUUUGGGGGUCCGAGUUGUAAUUUGCAGAGGGUGCUUUGGCGUUGGCUGUGGUCUAAGUUCCUUGGAACAGGACGUCGCAGAGGGUGAGAAUCCCGUAUGUGGCCGCCAGUCUUCGCCGUGUAAAGCCCCUUCGACGAGUCGAGUUGUUUGGGAAUGCAGCUCUAAAUGGGAGGUAAAUUUCUUCUAAAGCUAAAUAUUGGCCAGAGACCGAUAGCGCACAAGUAGAGUGAUCGAAAGAUGAAAAGCACUUUGGAAAGAGAGUCAAAAAGCACGUGAAAUUGUUGAAAGGGAAGCGCUUGCAGCCAGACUUGCUUGCAGUUGUUCAGCCGGGCUCUUGCCCGGUCUACUCUUCUGCUCGCAGGCCAGCAUCAGUCCGGGCGGUUGGAUAAAGGCCUAUUAAACGUACCUCCCCUCGGGGAGGACUUAUAGGGUAGGCGACAUGCAACCAGCCCGGAUUGAGGUCCGCGCAUCUGCUAGGAUGCUGGCGUAAUGGCUGUAAGCGGCCCGUCUUGAAACACGGACCAAGGAGUCUAACAUCUAUGCGAGUGUUUGGGUGUCAAGCCCGAGCGCGUAAUGAAAGUGAACGGAGGUGGGAACCUUUCGGGGUGCACCAUCGACCGAUCCUGAUGUCUUCGGAUGGAUUUGAGUAAGAGCAUAGCUGUUGGGACCCGAAAGAUGGUGAACUAUGCCUGAAUAGGGUGAAGCCAGAGGAAACUCUGGUGGAGGCUCGCAGCGGUUCUGACGUGCAAAUCGAUCGUCAAAUUUGGGCAUAGGGGCGAAAGACUAA
rnacentral:rRNA from 1 species